rnacentral:tRNA from 1 species
GGGAGUGUGGCUCAGUGGUUGAGCGCUUGCCUUGCAUGCAUGAGGCCCUGGGUUCGAUUCCUCAGCACCA